AUACUGUAUGUGGCAGCACAUACAGUAACAUUGGAAUGACAUGAAGAUCAGCAUGGCCCAUGUGAAGGGGUGACAUGCAGUUUUGUGAAGUCUUUUGUAUUAAA
rnacentral:snRNA from 1 species